AGGGAAAAACCAGUCCCUUCUUCCCCACAAAAAAAUCCCUUAUUCCUAAAAAUAAUCUUUUUGUCCACAAAACCAAUCUCUUUAUCCCAAAAAAUCCUUUAUCCAAACCAAUUCCUUUCCACCAAAAACAAGCUUCUUUAUCCCAAAAAUAAUCUUUUUUUUUUCUCAAAAUCAAUCCACUUUAUCGCAAAAAAAUCCUUUUCCCAAACCAAUUCCUUUCCCUCAAAAACAAGCUUCUUUAUCCCAAAAAUAAUCCUUUUUUUUUCCCCAAAACUGAUCUUUUUUAUCCCAAAAUCAAAUCCCUUUUUGCCAAGAAAUCCCUUCCCAUCCUCCCCCAAACCUCGGCUCUGCCUCACCCGGGGGCGGUUCCCGGGAUUUUUCACUCCUGAGCCUCGGGAAUUGUGUGGGAAUUCUGCCUGGAGCGUCCCAAAUUCCUGCCAGAACGGGAAAAAUCUUCCGGACAGAAGGGGGAGCUGCGGGCUCGGCUCUGCCCGAUCCCAAUCCCGGCCGGAAUCUCGAUCCUGGCUGGAAUUUCUGAUCCCAAUCCUGGUUCGUCUCUCCCCGACCCCAAUUCCGGCCGAAAUUCCCCAAUCCCGGCUCUUUGCGAUCCCAAUCCUGGCCAGAAUUCCCCAAUCCCAAUCCCGGCUCUGUGCGAUCCCAAUUCGGGCCGGAAUUCCCAAUUCCAUCUCAGCUCUCCCCGACUCCAAUCCCGGCUCUCCCCGACCCCAGUCCCACCCGGAAUCUCGAUCCUGGCUGGAAUUCCUGAUCCCAAUCCCAUCUCAGGUCUCCCCGACCCCAAUCCCGGCCGAAAUUCCCAAAUCCCGGCCGGAAUCUCGAUCCUGGCUGGAAUUCCUGAUCCCAAUCCCGGUUCGGCUCUCCCCGGCCCCAAUCCCGGCCGGAAUUCCCUCAUCCCAAUCCCGGCUCUGUGCGAUCCCAAUCCCGGCCGGAACUCCCAAUCCCAUCUCAGCUCUCCCCGACCCCAAUCCCAGUCGGAAUUCCCAAUCCCGCCUCUCCCCGACCCCAGUCCCAGCUCUGCCCGUUCCCAAUCCCGGC
rnacentral:lncRNA from 1 species